rnacentral:rRNA from 1 species
GCAGUCGUACGCUUCUUUUUCACCGGAGCUUGCUCCACCGGAAAAAGAGGAGUGGCGAACGGGUGAGUAACACGUGGGUAACCCGCCCAUCAGAAGGGGAUAACACUUGGAAACAGGUGCUAAUACCGUAUAACAAUCGAAACCGCAUGGUUUUGAUUUGAAAGGCGCUUUCGGGUGUCGCUGAUGGAUGGACCCGCGGUGCAUUAGCUAGUUGGUGAGGUAACGGCUUACCAAGGCCACGAUGCAUAGCCGACCUGAGAGGGUGAUCGGCCACAUUGGGACUGAGACACGGCCCAAACUCCUACGGGAGGCAGCAGUAGGGAAUCUUCGGCAAUGGACGAAAGUCUGACCGAGCAACGCCGCGUGAGUGAAGAAGGUUUUCGGAUCGUAAAACUCUGUUGUUAGAGAAGAACAAGGAUGAGAGUAACUGUUCAUCCCUUGACGGUAUCUAACCAGAAAGCCACGGCUAACUACGUGCCAGCAGCCGCGGUAAUACGUAGGUGGCAAGCGUUGUCCGGAUUUAUUGGGCGUAAAGCGAGCGCAGGCGGUUUCUUAAGUCUGAUGUGAAAGCCCCCGGCUCAACCGGGGAGGGUCAUUGGAAACUGGGAGACUUGAGUGCAGAAGAGGAGAGUGGAAUUCCAUGUGUAGCGGUGAAAUGCGUAGAUAUAUGGAGGAACACCAGUGGCGAAGGCGGCUCUCUGGUCUGUAACUGACGCUGAGGCUCGAAAGCGU